AUUGAACGCUGGCGGCAGGCCUAACACAUGCAAGUCGAACGAGUGGCGGACGGGUGAGUAAUGUCUGGGAAACUGCCCGAUGGAGGGGGAUAACUACUGGAAACGGUAGCUAAUACCGCAUACCAUCGGAUGUGCCCAGAUGGGAUUAGCUAGUAGGUGGGUUAAAGGCUCACCUAGGCGACGAUCCCUAGCUGGUCUGAGAGGAUGACCGGCCACACUGGAACGGGGACACGGUCCAGACUCCUAGGGAAGGCAGCAGUGGGGAAUAUUGCACAAUGGGCGCAGGCCUGAUGCAGCAAUGCCGCGUGAAUGAAGAAGGCCUUCGGGUUGUAAAGUACUUUCUGCGGGGAGGCGUUACCCACAGAGAAAGCACCGGCUAACUCCGUGCCAGCAGCCGCGGUAAUUC
rnacentral:rRNA from 1 species